AACGCGAAGAACCUUACCUUACCCACCUUUGACAUGUACGGAAUCCUGCAGAGAUGCGGGAGUGCUCGCAAGAGAGCCGUAACACAGGUGCUGCAUGGCUGUCGUCAGCUCGUGUCGUGAGAUGUUGGGUUAAGUCCCGCAACGAGCGCAACCCUUGCCAUCAGUUGCUACGAAAGGGCACUCUGAUGGGACUGCCGGUGACAAACCGGAGGAAGGUGGGGAUGACGUCAAGUCCUCAUGGCCCUUAUAGGUGGGGCUACACACGUCAUACAAUGGCUGGUACAAAGGGUUGCCAACCCGCGAGGGGGAGCCAAUCCCACAAAGCCAGUCGUAGUCCGGAUUGCAGGCUGCAACUCGCCUGCAUGAAGUCGGAAUCGCUAGUAAUCGUGGAUCAGCAUGUCACGGUGAAUACGUUCCCGGGUCUUGUACACACCG
rnacentral:rRNA from 1 species